rnacentral:rRNA from 1 species
AACGAACGCUGGCGGCAGGCUUAACACAUGCAAGUCGAACGCAUCCUUCGGGGUGAGUGGCAGACGGGUGAGUAACGCGUGGGAACGUGCCCUUCAGUUCGGGAUAACCCAGGGAAACUUGGGCUAAUACCGGAUACGUGCGAGAGCAGAAAGAUUUAUCGCUGAAGGAUCGGCCCGCGUCUGAUUAGCUAGUUGGUGGGGUAAUGGCACACCAAGGCGACGCUCAGUAGCUGGUCUGAGAGGAUGAUCAGCCACAUUGGGACUAAGACACGGCCCAAACUCCUACGGGAGGCAGCGGUGGGGAAUAUUGGACAAUGGACGCAAGCCUGAUCCAGCCAUGCCGCGUGAGUGGUGAAGGCCUUAGGGUUGUAAAGCUCUAUCGUCCGUGACGAUAAUGACGGUACCGGAAGAAGAAGCCCCGGCUAACUUCGUGCCAGCCGCCGCGGUAAGAC